AUCUACAGCCACCAUGACUCCACUGGUGCUGUUCUGUGUUCUCAUAGCCUUCAUUCAGGACUCAAGAUGCCAGAUUUCUGUAAAUCAACCAUCAGCACCAAAGUCAGUUCCUCCUGGAGGGAGCGUCACCUUCAGCUGUACUACUGCCAGUAAUGUGGGUAACGCCAUAAACUGGUUCCAGCAGAAACCUGGACAAACUCCUACACUCCUGAUCUAUGCUGCAAGCUCUCUCUACAGUGGCACCCCAAGUCGCUUCACUGGCAGCGGGUCAGGAACUUCAUACAGUUUGACUAUCAGUGGAGUUCAGCCUGAAGAUGCCGGUCACUACUACUGUAUGCAGUAUAACAGCUACCCUCUCACACAGUGA